rnacentral:rRNA from 1 species
AUCCGGGUUGCGGACAGUGUCUGGUGGGUAGUUUGACUGGGGCGGUCUCCUCCCAAAGAGUAACGGAGGAGCACGAAGGUUAGCUAAUCCUGGUCGGACAUCAGGAGGUUAGUGCAAUGGCAUAAGCUAGCUUGACUGCGAGAGUGACGGCUCGAGCAGGUGCGAAAGCAGGUCAUAGUGAUCCGGUGGUUCUGAAUGGAAGGGCCAUCGCUCAACGGAUAAAAGGUACUCCGGGGAUAACAGGCUGAUACCGCCCAAGAGUUCAUAUCGACGGCGGUGUUUGGCACCUCGAUGUCGGCUCAUCACAUCCUGGGGCUGAAGUAGGUCCCAAGGGUAUGGCUGUUCGCCAUUUAAAGUGGUACGCGAGCUGGGUUUAGAACGUCGUGAGACAGUUCGGUCCCUAUCUGCCGUGGGCGCUGGAGAAUUGAGGGGGGCUGCUCCUAGUACGAGAGGACCGGAGUGGACGCAUCACUGGUGUUCGGGUUGUCAUGCCAAUGGCACUGCCCGGUAGCUAAAUGCGGAAGAGAUAAGUGCUGAAAGCAUCUAAGCACGAAACUUGC